GACCGCUCUGGUGGCCUAGUGGUUAGAGCGUCAACAACGGAUGCGGAAGGCCGCGGUUUCCAUCCCCGCCCGGGUCA